rnacentral:piRNA from 1 species
UAUUAUGUUUUACUAUAUAAUUAUGUCUAAG